CAAGAAUUAUAUUUCAUCCUUGGAUGAAAUACAAGAAUACCACUCAUGGUACGUUCAUGGAUGUAACACUGACAAUCUACCCUGCAAUCCUUGUACACAGAAAUUAUUUCACACCAUUACUGCCCAUACUGCUAAAUGCCUGUGAAUGAAGCCCUUUUCUGCAUUUAACUAACUUCCAAGAUGCCCUGCCAAAUAUAUGUUAGUUAAAAUAGCCUGUGUCCCUCUUUCAUCAGUAUUUAAAUCCAGACCAAGCACAGGAUUCUGCAGGGUUUAACCCCACAUAAAAGGAGAAUUUUGGAAUUUAGUCAAAGGGCAGACCGCUGUGGAUGAAGGUUAUGGAACAGAUGAGCCAAGCCCUGCCAUUGUCCUUGUCCUUCUGCUGGACAUUCACACCAGGUAUCUAUGCAGACACACAAUAUCUAUCCACCUGCCUUUGACCACACUGUUAUAUGUUUUGGAUUCUCAGUGGUUAACCCUACACCAGAAGAUCAUUAACUGCAGGUGUGAGAACCGGAGGCUGAAAACACAGGCUCAAAAGAACACACUGCACCUCAGUGCUGCUGGAGUAAUGCCUGCAGAGGCAAAGUUUAGCACAUGGGCUGUGGGAAAAGUUGCCAUGUGCAAGAACUUGGAGGAAACCUACCUCUUCCCUUGAUCCCACCGGCCUGCAGGGUCUGGCCCUGGCGUCUAGGGCUGUGGUCACAAUUUUGAAGUCUACCAGCACAAGAAAGCAACUUUUACCUCUGGAUCAAGGCUAGGCAACCAGAUGAAAGCAGUUCAGUUACUAAACCUGUUUUCACUUUCAAAACUGAUACAGCUGUGAAUCACCUCAAAAUGAAAUAAAGCUCUUCUGUUCUCACA
rnacentral:lncRNA from 1 species